CAGCUUGUUGGUGGGGUAAUGGCCUACCAAGGCAUCGACGGGUAGCUGGUCUGAGAGGAUGAUCAGCCACACUGGGACUGAGACACGGCCCAGACUCCUACGGGAGGCAGCAGUGGGGAAUCUUGCACAAUGGGCGAAAGCCUGAUGCAGCAACGCCGCGUGCGGGAAGAAGGCCCUCGGGUUGUAAACCGCUUUCAGAAGGAACGAAACUGACGGUACUUUCAGAAGAAGGUGCGGCCAACUACGUGCCAGCAGCCGCGGUGACACGUAGGCACCAAGCGUUGUCCGGAUUUAUUGGGCGUAAAGAGCUCGUAGGCGGUUCAGUAAGUCGGGUGUGAAAACUUUGGGCUUAACCCAAAGCGUGCAUCCGAUACUGCUGUGACUUGAGUACGGUAGGGGAGCGGGGAAUUCCUAGUGUAGCGGUGAAAUGCGCAGAUAUUAGGAGGAACACCGGUGGCGAAAGCGCCGCUCUGGGCCGAAAC
rnacentral:rRNA from 1 species